GUGUAGUAAAGCUAGUAUCAUUUAGAAGCUGUUCCUUGGUCAAGCAAUGAGAGUGAGGCCUUGUGGGUAACCAACAAGCCACAAGGACCAUGGGAAAUAAGUUCUGUCCCUUUAACCCCAGACUAACAGGCACCCAGGGUGUGAAAGUUUUAUUAUGGGAGAGGAAACCCCUGAUUUAAUGGAAGGCUUGACACCUGGGUCCAAGUUCUGCGCAUUCCGUUAGUGAUGUUAUCUGGCCUUAAUGGCCUGGGAAUGUGCAUCUGCAGAGGCGCCAAGGAAGGGAGGACAACCUUUGAUUGAGGCUCUGGGUUCUUAAUUGGCCCAGCUGCCAGAAGUUAGAUUGAUUAGUCCACAAGCCGGUCAUUGGAGAAUUUAAAAAUAAUCAAGAGUUAUGAUUGGUUUUGGGGGUUCCGACGCCACGUGUGAAUCAGGGUUAAAAGAUCUGGGAAAUGGCUGAGAAAGUGCGCUCUGCAAUCCGCAAAUCGCCCGGCUGCUGAUGUUCCAUCUAAGUAGCUGUCUUUACCUCCUUUGUGAUGGAGAACUGCGAAAGCCUUUGAACUGCGGAACCUUGAAAGGACUCUAUCUAUUCCUUUUGUGCUUUAGUUGUGAGUAUGCAAGCUAGCUAGAUUUCACAAUGUUUUUAUUUUUCUUGUCUGUAACUUACUAAAGAUGUGCCUGCUAUUUUAGCAUGUUGUCUUAUGUUCUUUUAAAAUAAAUUUUAA